CGGAGGGUGCAAGCGUUAUCCGGAUUCACUGGGUUUAAAGGGUGCGUAGGCGGGCAGGUAAGUCCGUGGUGAAAUCUCUGAGCUUUAACUCAGAAACUGCCAUGGAUACUAUUUGUCUUGAAUAUUGUGGAGGUAAGCGGAAUAUGUCAUGUAGCGGUGAAAUGCUUAGAUAUGACAUAGAACACCAAUUGCGAAGGCAGCUUACUACACAGUCAUUGACGCUGAGGCACGAAAGCGUGGGGAUCAAACAGGAUUAGAUACCCUGGUAGUCCACGCCCUAAACGAUGAUUACUCGACAUCAGCGAUACACUGUUGGUGUCUGAGCGAAAGCAUUAAGUAAUCCACCUGGGAAGUACGAUCGCAAGAUUG
rnacentral:rRNA from 1 species